GACGAACGCUGGCGGCGUGCUUAACACAUGCAAGUCGAGCGGGAUCCAACCGGUGGCAACACCGGGGAAGAUCUAGCGGCGAACGGGUGAGUAACACGUGAGCAACCUGCCCCGAAGACUGGGAUAACACCGGGAAACCGGUGCUAAUACCGGAUGUCGUCAUUAGGCCGCAUGACCUGAUGAUGAAAGGAUUCAUCGCUUCGGGAGGGGCUCGCGGGCUAUCAGCUUG
rnacentral:rRNA from 1 species